rnacentral:rRNA from 1 species
GCUAAGUCCGGUCAUGCAGGCGGGGUAAUACGGUGGAGUCAAGCGUUAUCCGGAUUCGUUGGUUUUAAAGGGUGCGUAGGCGGAAUACUAAGUCAGUAGUGAAAUCCUGCAGCUUAACAGUAGAACUGUUAUUGAUAAUGGUAGUCUUGAAUGCAGUUGAGGUAGGCGGAAUGUGUAAUGUAGCGGUGAAAUGCUUAGAUAUUACACAGAACACCGAUUGCGAAGGCAGCUUACUAAACUGUGAUUGACGCGGAGGCACGAAAGCGUGGGGAGCAAACAGGAUUAGAUACCCCGGUAGUC